rnacentral:sRNA from 2 species
GCAACACCCCACUCUCAGACACCCUCAAACACCUCUCACGCUCAAUACAGGCAUGGAGGUGGGAUUAGAGGCGGGAAUUCAACGUUGGAAUAAGGGAUUUGAUGAGGAGGUGAGGAUGACUAGUAGUUGAGAGCGUGAGGAUCCGAGAAACAUCGAACCCCACAGCGGUCCACAGAGGCAGAAGAGGGGUUGAAGGAUGGCUCGAAAACCACUAAGUUGAACAAGGCGCAAAAGUGUCAGCUCUGAGCCCCGCCAUGGGAAUUCAAUGUUGUGUUUUUCGCUGAAAAUUUGACCCAUUCCACUGGACGUCCCGCCAUCCGGCAACUCCGAAGUACCGAAAUUUCCCACAGCUCAUAACCUUUAUUUUUCGUCCCUGGAAAGACCAAGGGCCUCACGGUCCCAGAAUGCUCCGAGAUGCCUGCGGGUUCGCUUCCUCCAGUAACUCUAUAGAGCCUUGGCUCGAGCUGAAUAUAUAAGGGUUGAAACCGUUAUACGUUGAACUUCUUGUUCAACACCAGAUCGAUCUCUUUUGGGAUGCAAUUGGUAACCUACUUUGGUCAGCCAGAUUCGGGGGAGCAAGGCCUUUGGACCACCCCAACGAUCAAUGAAUGAAUCAUGGACGGACAUUGGCUGGUAGGUGACUUGUGUGUCCUAGGAAUUCGAGGCCACGGAUUUGCCAGAUUCAGCAAAAGAUGACCGGCACUUGUUCGAGGGAAUCUGGGUCUCAUGGGAAAAUUCCGUGGAUGGAAAUACUAUUAUUUCUUGGUUGCUAGCAAAUAUUCAAUGAGGCUUCCCAUAGUUGGCUUGGUACAUUCCUUGCGAACUUGUCAACCCCCAUCAAUGUAAAGAACGAGAAAGUAGCCAUACAAGAGGCCAAUGAAAUAUUUCCGACCUCAUGGAAAGAAGUAAGGUGCUAAUAACGAGAAGUGGACUUUGAAUUAACAGUUUGUUUG